AAGAAGAACCGACAUUAACAAAACAGGAAUCAAGAGCAAUAUCAACGGCGGUGGCGGCAAUUCCAGUAGCAACAACGGGGAAACUAAGAGCAAGGUGGUUAGCAUAAGCAUAAAAAUGAAUGAGUUAUUGCAAAAAUACCUCAACAUAAUAAUCUGGAUACGAGGAUAUGAUACUGUAGGAACGGGAUAAUCUAAUACUAUACUAAUACGGGAUUUUGUGAGGAAGAAAUUUCCAAGAAAAUUUUGGGAGAAGAUAAUGGAAAAUUGUAGACUUAGGUAAGAUGGAAGGGCCAAUCCUUCUUUUU
rnacentral:lncRNA from 1 species